AGACUUUGAUCCUGGCUCAGAAUGAACGUUGGCGGCGUGGAUUAGGCAUGCAAGUCGAGCGAGAAUCUUUAGAUGGAAGCUUCNGCCGAAGUCUGAAGAGGACAGCGGCAAACGGCGUAGUAAUGCGUCGGUUACNUACCCUCAGGACCGGGAUAGCCAAGGGAAACUUUGGGUAAUACCGGAUAACAUCUCCGGAUCAAAUGGUGUGAUUCCGCCUGGGGAGCGGCUGACGUGGUAUUAGCUUGUUGGUGGGGUAACGGCCUACCAAGGCGAUGAUGCCUAGGGGGUGUUAGCGCAUGGCCCCCACGACUGGGACUGAGACACUGCCCAGACACCUACGGGUGGCUGCAGUCGAGAAUCUUCGGCAAUGGACGCAAGUCUGACCGAGCGACGCCGCGUGCGGGAUGAAGGCCCUUGGGUUGUAAACCGCUGUCAGAGGGGAUGAAGUUCGGAAGGCUAUCCUUCCGGUUUGACAAAGCCUCANAGGAAGCCCCGGCUAAGUACGUGCCANCAGCCNCGGUAANACCNUACUUGGGCGAACCGUUAUUCC
rnacentral:rRNA from 1 species